ensembl:snoRNA SNORD18 Small nucleolar RNA SNORD18
UGUGUAUGAUGAGAUUUCACUUCAUGGUCUGUGUUUCUGAAACACAUGGUUUUGUGGAAGCUCUGAUUUG